UUUCCAUAGCUUUCUUCUCUCUCUAGAAAAAAGGAACUGUAGGUGGUGGUCGGCCGGUGAGUCUGGCCGUGUUCGGUGAUCGAGUGAGCGGCGGUGGGCGGCUCUGCAGGCGGAGGAGAAACAGGCAUGGGUUUUUGGCAUCAGAUGAUUCUUCCUGUACGCCGUGUUUGGCUCGCCGUUUACGGCCGUCUUAAAACUCGCAAAAAUGAUGAAGGAUUACUGAACCUUAAUGAUGAUGUGGAAACAUGUGGCUAUCAUGACGUAAAGGUAAUGUGGGAAAUACUAAGGAGAUCAGAAGCAGAGCAAAUAACUCGUCGACAUCAAGCUAAACGUAAACACAAACAUUUAUGGAAGGCUUUCGUAUGGUCUAACCCUGCUGAAAGUACAGUUAAAAUGUCAACUUUUUCGACUUUUAACCAUGUUUCAUAGUCAAGUCGAGUUUUAGGCCAAUUUGGGUCUAAAGUGAAGCGAAGGGUUGUGAAUAGAAAUAAUAAUUGCUUCUAAAAUGUUCCUAAAGAGGAGAAAUCCCAUUACAUUGGCCAUUUUGUGGUAAGAUAGUGAGAUGUUGACAAAUGAUUUAAUAUGGCUCUAUCAAUCAUUUUCUUCA